rfam:Balearica pavonina gibbericeps contig90162, whole genome shotgun sequence.
GGUCCCAUGGUGUAAUGGUGAGCACUCUGGGCUCUGAAUCCAGCUACCUGAGUUCAAAUCUCAGUGGGACCU